GAUGAGGGGGUUUGUAUCGUGAGGUGUGGUUGAGAUAAGGGAGGAGAGGAACCACCAUCAGCAGAGAGAUCUUUCCUUCAUUUUUAAAUGUUUUGAGCCCUUAAUACACUCUCACCGUAAGCUGCGUUUGAUAGAAAAUACUGGGGGUGUUCAUGUUUUAUUACAGCAUAUAAAAUGUUAUAUAUUCUAUUUGGCCCUGUUUUAUUAGAGUAUAUAAAAUAUGUAUUCUGUGUGUAGCUGAGGUAGCAAUUACACCUAAGAGAACUUGCAUUUAUGUCUCUGAGUAAGGACUCACCCUCCACCUGCAGUGGAAGGAGGGGGACUGGAUAGGAACAAAACCUUAUUCUCAUGUGUCCACACACUAAAGAGUUAACUGGGAGCAGAUACUACUCUUCCAGCUCCUAUACAGUUACAGCACACAACUGUGUUGGUGUGUAGCUGUCUCCCAGCCAUGUUUAGCUGUGUAAAUACUACUCUUACUGUACCUAUCAUCUGAGCUACUGAACUUCAUGUUCAUCUGGGCUUCUGCUCCUCAUUAAGCAGCAUCUGGGCAAGGUCUCAUCAGUUCGAGGCAUUCCUCAGCUUCAGCAUGCUCCCAUUGAGUGCAGAGGAGCUGAGCUGUCCAGCAGGACGCUCGUGCUGCUUCCCAGCAGCUUUGCUCCCAGUUUUGAAGAGGGCUGUGGUGACUCUGCUGCUCCAGUGACAGCGUUACCCACGCUUCUCUUUCUGGAAAGCCACCUUCAGCCUUUGGAAGGUGUGCUGUACCACCAAGCAUAGCUGCGAAGGGAUAGGGUAUGGAGAAUAGAGCAUUGACAAAUGCAGCCUGUUGAGAUGCUGAUGGGGAGAAGGAGGAUGAGAGUUGUUCCACUGAGACCUGCCCAGGGGAAUGCUCUCCAUGGAAAGGGCUUUGGACCCUUUCCUGGAGCAUCACAUCAGUGCAGGGCUGCAGUCUGCCUCUCUUAAAUGACCUUUUGCUGACUUUGAUCUCACAAGGUGACUUUGAUGGGUGAGAUGGAGCAGGGGCAGCUCCCAAGAGCCUGCAAGUUCCUAUGAAGCACAAACCACUCUGUAGCACCGACCUUCUAAGGAAAGCAGGAAGAGGCAGGAAAGGAUUGACUCUGUCCUGCCGAGGGCUUUUCCGAAGAUGCCUGCUGGGAACGCUGGCUGUAUGUUUCUCUUUAGGAAGUCGCUCUUUUGAUUUUCUCACUGCCUCGCCUGUCACGCUGAGGUGCCUGGAGAAGGAUUUGCUGAUGAAAUCCAUUCUCCCUUGAGAUUCUGCUCGUCCCAUCUUGAUCAACUUUUAAUUCUUGCUUUCUAAUAACACCCAGGGACGGUGUUUUAUGGCUUUAUGAGGAUUUGGUGAUUGAAGUUCAUCUGUGCUUGCAGGAGACCAGUAACCUCAUUUCAUUUUUGACAGAGCGUCGGGGGAAGAGCUCUGUACCCUUCGCCCUUCUUGGUCAUGUAUAAAUGAAAGAGAAAGUAAAGCGGAUAUAAUGUGUCCAGACCUGUCAGCCCGGCUCCCUUGUCCUCUCUCACCACACUGGUGAACUUCUGACACUGUUUCUCUCCCGCCUGGCACAUGGGCACGUGUUUGAAGGACACCGUUGGCUCAUUUUUGAUAUCCUUCCAUGAUCUUGCUUUUAUUCUUGGUUCUGCACACCAGCGGCUGGGAUGGUUGGAAGUAGCUGCUCUAAGCUGGCGUGGGAGUAGAUUGCUUAAGCAUUACCUCACAGAGUCAAUGUAAAUUGAGAGCAGAUAAGACUUGGACCCCAAAUGCCUUUUUUUGACCCAUUACUGUCUUCUUCCCAGUUCCAUUCUCUCUGCUCUUUCUGAUUUUGAGCAGGUUCAAGAGGAAUGGGACUCCUGGUUCACGCUCAAACCAACCUUAUCUGCGGUACCCAAAGGCAUACACACAGGUACCCACCACUGGCAAAGGAUUUGUCAGUAAAAGAAAUGCUGGAGGAAGAAUGCCCACAGUGAUGAAUUGAGAGACAAUGCACAAAAUCCUGGCCCCAGAUAACCUGGUAAUAUCAUUCACCAAACUGUGACUCUGUUCUCGUAGAGAAACGGCAUUUCCCUUUACAAAUCCAUUUUCUCUCCUUAGGAGAAAGGACAUUUAGAGCAUCUCUAGUGAAAGGGAGAAGGUGGAAGAGGCUGUGAGGACGCCGUGCUUCCUACACUGGUCCACAGAUUCUAAACACAGGUUUGGUUAUUUCUGAUAGAUGCUUAUUUUUCCUCUCUGUUUUUUGCUUUCAAAUAUGUGCUUGUGUUCUCAAUGAAGAACAGCUGAGAGAUCAGGCAAAUGGCUUAAGAAUUCAGCGGGCUGUAAGCUAUUUGGAUUUAAAAUAGUGCCUGGGAGAGAGCUUUUUACACUGCCUCGCUAAACAAUCCUCCUUCUGUCACCAUCUGAGGUUGCCAUCCUUUGUUCCUCACAUGUCGCCUUCCCUCUAACUCUCCAGAGCCUCCAAGGGAAGCAGGAGAAGGGCUAACGAGGGUUUUUCUUUUUCAUUUUUAAAUCCCCCCAAGUCCUUCUUUAACGCAGCCCCCCCCCCCCGGCCAUCUGCCUUUGUUUCAGUUGUGCUUCUUGGCUUUGUUUCUUCAGCAUUACCCCCUCCUUGUCCCUUUGCAGGGCCCUGUUAAACACUGUGGGAGAGCUGUGCAGAGGCAGCUCAGCAUCCCUGGCCUCAGCCACAGCACUUGUAGCACCAGAGCCUGCUCGUCUGACUGUGGCCAGAGCCAUCCCUGCUGCCUUUUUUGCUUCCCUUUCCCAUGGCAGGGGGUUGGAACUGGAUGAGCUUAAGGUGCUUUUCAACCCAAACCAUUCUAUCAUUCUGCUUGCAAAAGCAAAGCUGGGGCUGCUCUGCUGGGGGAGCAGGGUGCUGGCAUCAGGCACAACAAACCGGGCACCCCACUGCU